UACGAAGGGGGGCUAGCGUUGCUCGGAAUCACUGGGCGUAAAGCGCACGUAGGCGGAUUGCUAAGUCAGGGGUGAAAUCCUGGAGCUCAACUCCAGAACUGCCUUCGAUACUGGCGAUCUUCGAGUCCGGGAGAGGUGAGUGGAACUGCGAGUGUAGAGGUGAAAUUCGUAGAUAUUCGCAGGAACACCAGUGGCGAAGGCGACUUGCUGGAUCUUUGCUGACGCUGAGACGCGAAAAGCGUGGGGGAGCAAACAGGGAUUAAGAAAACCCCCAGUAAGUCCA
rnacentral:rRNA from 1 species